CGCCAAACAGCUAGCUCACACACAACACCAACAUACCCUUAUUAUAUCCAUAAAUUAUACUUUACCACAUGAAACAAACCAUUUUACCUCCCAAGUACGGGCGACGAAAAAGGACCUAGAAGCGAUAGAAAAAGUACCGCAAGGGAAAGCUGAAAGAGAAAUGAAAUAACUCAUCUAAGCAUCAAAAAGCAGAGACACCCCCUCGUACCUUUUGCAUCAUGAUUUAGCAAGAAACACGUUAAGCAAAAAGAAUUGUAGUUUAAUUUCCCGAAACUAAGUGAGCUACUCCAAGACAGCCUURUUAUUAGGGCAACCCCGUCUCUGUGGCAAAAGAGUGGGAAGAGCUUUGAGUAGAAGUGAUAGACCAACCGAACUUAGUUAUAGCUGGUUGCCUGAGAAUUGAAUAAAAGUUCAGCCUUUUAAAUUCUUUCCCCAAAUUUCUAUAUAUAUUUAUCUAAGGAACAAGAAAUUAAAGAAGUUAUUCAAAGGGGGUACAGCCCCUUUGAAAUAAAAGACAACUUUCCCAGCAGGAUAAAGAUCAUAUUAAAACUUAAGGUAUAUGCCCCAGUGGGCCUAAAAGCAGCCAUCCCAUUAGAAAGCGUUAAAGCUCGAGCAUUCAUACUCCACAAAUAUUGAUAUACUCUCUUAAUCCCCUAUUUAUAUCAGGCUAUUUCAUAUAAUAUGAAAGCAAUUAUGCUAAUAUGAGUAAUAAGAGAGGACUGCCUCUCUCCCUGCACACAUGUACAUCGGAACGAACCCCCACCGAAAAUUAACGAACCCAAAAUCAAGAGGGAACUGGAUAAUAAAUAAAUACCAGAAAACCAUCCAACCUUCAAUCGUUACCCCUACACUGGUGUGCUUCAUGGGAAAGACUAAAAGGAAAAGAAGGAACUCGGCAAACACAAGCCUCGCCUGUUUACCAAAAACAUCGCCUCUUGAUUACAAAACAUAAGAGGUCCCGCCUGCCCAGUGACUAUAAGUUUAACGGCCGCGGUAUUUUAACCGUGCAAAGGUAGCGCAAUCACUUGUCUUUUAAAUGAAGACCUGUAUGAAUGGCACCACGAGGGCUUAACUGUCUCCUUUUUCCUGUCAAUGAAAUUGAUCUCCCCGUGCAGAAGCGGGGAUAAUUACAUAAGACGAGAAGACCCUAUGGAGCUUUAGGCUCCAGAACAGACUAUGUAAAACACCCUUCAAUAAAAGACAAAACUUAUUAGGACCCUGUUUAAUAUGCCUUUGGUUGGGGCGACCGCGGGGAAACAAAAACCCCCAUGUGGACCGGGAGCACACUACUCCUACAACCCAGAGUUACAACUCCAAGCAACAGAAUUUCUGACCAACAAGAUCCGGCAUACAGCCGAUCAACGGACCGAGUUACCCUAGGGAUAACAGCGCAAUCCUCUUUCAGAGCCCAUAUCGACAAGAGGGUUUACGACCUCGAUGUUGGAUCAGGACAUCCUAAUGGUGCAGCCACUAUUAAGGGUUCGUUUGUUCAACGAUUAAAGUCCUACGUGAUCUGAGUUCAGACCGGAGUAAUCCAGGUCAGUUUCUAUCUAUGCCACGAUCUUUUCUAGUACGAAAGGACCGAAAAGAUAGAGGCCCCUGUUUCCGAUAUGCCUCACCCUCACCUACUGAAACCAACUAAAAUAGGCAAAAGGGCGUACCCCUUUAGCCUAAGAAAAUGGCCUU
rnacentral:rRNA from 1 species